UACGUAGGAGGCAAGCGUUGUCCGGAAUUACUGGGCGUAAAGCGCGUGUAGGUGGUGGGACAAGUCUGCUGUGAAAGCGCCUGGCUUAACCGGGCGAGGUCGGCGGAAACUGUCCGACUAGAGGACGGUAGAGGGGGGUGGAAUUCCCGGUGUAGUGGUGAAAUGCGUAGAGAUCGGGAGGAACACCUGUGGCGAAGGCGGCCCCCUGGGCCGGCCCUGACAUUGAGACGCGAAGGCGUGGGGAGCGAACGGG
rnacentral:rRNA from 1 species